AACUAAACAGAUUACUUAUAAUUAUAGGCGUAAUAAGUAAUUAUUUUUAUCUAUCUUUAUCAUUACCGAAUGCAACCCUUUCACAACCUUCAUAGUCUUAUCAGCAUAUUGUGUAAUAAGUAAAACAGAUUAUUGAUCAAAAUAGAUAAUCAAUUAAUCAAUUAUAAAUUUUCUUUUAGAGAUGUUCUUCCCAAUAUAACACUCCAAACAAAGGGUUAUAGAAAUCGUUUUAAUAAUAGGCGCACUAUUGUUGAAACUCUGAACGAUGUCUCUUCCACUCAAUCGCCGCCUUAUAUACAUCUUUGAUUGCGAUCCUAGCCAUUUGUCUAUUUCGUAACACGCCUCGUUGAUGGUUUCCUGAAAGUACUAUGUUGAAUGGACUAUUUCUCUAUAACCUCGAUCACCUUAUGGAGAAAAUUUUUAAUUUCGAAUACUUUCUAAACUAGACCAGGCAUUCACCAUCAAUUCGCUAUUUCUCCGUGCUGAUAUGAGUAAACAAAUGACUUAUUUACUGCAGAGAACAUCGUGUCGUAUAUUACGAAUAGCAAACAAAUAUCUGAUCAUCUGAUCAAACAUCACGACUUGGCUGGUAUAUUCCACAUGUGUCGGGCAUCGGACUCAUGAUUCCUGUCGCCAGUUAGCUAUAUAAAGCUCACAAGAAUUGGGUCCAGUCCAAGUGUAAAAAAAUUGCGUGAGCUGUAGUCUAGCAACAUUCUUUUGUUGUGCUGUGCCCCGCAACCUCAAAAACAAACAAUGAGAGCUCCAGAUUCAAGCAAUGCCUGUGCCUGUUAUUUCGCAAAUUUUGUUUAUCUUAAAAAUACUUUAUGUAGCCCAAGUAAUACUGUAUGUUUACAAGAAACCCCUCAGUUAAAUAUUAGUGUUCGUUUCUUGUUUAUUAUUAUUGGACACGUGAGUGGACAUAUGGAUCGUUUUCAUAUUUUUGGUAAUCUUGUUUUUGUUGGUCUUCUUCUUCGUAUCGCUUUGAAAAAAAAACGCCAUAAAUAUGAGAUCGCGUCAGUGUUGCGUUUUUAUGUAUAACAACUUUAUAAAUCUCUGAUUAUAUUUAUGGAUGUUUCCCUGAGUAUACACUUCUUUAUUUACUUCCGUAACAUUGGCCAAUCAGCAUAGGUGCAAAAUUUGACGUAACAAUAAACGUUUCAGGAACGCUUAGAUACUUUUGCCAUUCAGACAGUCUUUCGUGGUUGUGAAUAUUACCUCGUUUUGGCGGUUUUCGCGUAUUAUUUGCUAGUUUUUAGUGGUGUUUUGGUGAAUAUAAGUCCUAAUCAAAUAA